rnacentral:rRNA from 1 species
UACGAGAGGCCCAAACGUUAUUCGGAAUUACUGGGCUUAAAGAGUCCGUAGGCGGCGCGGAAAGUGGGGUGUGAAAUCCCUCGGCUUAACCGAGGAAUUGCGCUCCAAACUGCCGUGCUUGAGGAACCUAGAGGUGAGCAGAACUGAUGGUGGAGCGGUGAAAUCCGUUGAUCCAUUGAAGACCACCAGUGGCGAAGGCGGCUUGCCAGAAUGCGCUCGACGGUGAGGGAUGAAAGCUGGGGGAGCAAACCGG